GUACGCCUGAAACACUGUCAGCUUUAUGACAGCUCGUAGAAGACUAUUGUCCGAUAACAAAUCACGGGAAUCAAACAAAGCCAAAGAAGAAAAGAUCUACCAUGGGUACAUGACCUAAGCACUAUCAAAGUUUUCAAUACUAAAUAAUAAAAUAUUAUCAAUCAUCAAA